CGGGAAAUUGGAGGGUGGGGAAUCCUGAGGCGGGGGGCGAGGCUGCCUGUGUGGCUUCGUUUGGCUGAGUCGUCUUCUUCCAGGCCCUCUUUAAGCGUCACCGUGAAACCGCUCACGCAGGGUGAGGUGAGCAAAAGCAAGGUCAAAGGCGGUCCGCGCAAACCACGAUCUCUCAGACCCACGGACACAGUUGCGGAAGGGACAAAAGCGCCGGGGCAGGAAGUGACUCAAGCACAAAGGGCUGACACCCCGGACGUGCAUUUUUUGGAAAGCAAGGUGCAGCAGCCAAAGGGCCCCGGCCAGGAAGAGAGGCUCCCUCCAUCCGCGGCUCCUUUCUGGGGAUUUGGGGGCCUCCCCGGCUCGCCAGCAACGGCUCUGGCCUGGAGCUCUUUGCCCCUUCCGGCUUCCGCACAGCUUACAGGGCACCACAGACUUGGAUUCCGCGGUUUCCCUUCGAGGCGCGAGGAAAGCCUCCCUGGAAGGCCGGAGAGCGGCCUGCGCGUGCGCGGGGCGGGGGGUGGGGAGGGUGGGGGUGGGGUUAAGCAACAGGCAGCUGGAAACAAUGUCCGUCACGCCCGGGCGUCCCCUCCCAGUAUUCUCCAGCCCCGGGCUAGGCCUUCCUGGGGGCAGGGCCACUCUCUCCGGAGGGCUGGGAAUGCGGGUCCCGGGUUUUCUUUUUCUGACUCCUGGAAAUCGCGGGCCCCUGGGGGCGGCCCGUUCCCGCCUUCUCCAUUAGAUGUCGCUCUGCCCUCACUCCCGGGUGAAUCCGUGGGACGCUCGCCGAGCCCUCCCUGCCCCCGUCGUCUGCUUCCGGCUUCCCUCCCCGGCCGCUGGGCUCGCCCACUUAGCCCCACGCGGCCCCCCUGUCGCCUUCCUGUGCCGCAUGGCCUGACUUGUGCCACACCGCCUCUCCCGGGCUUCUGCCCUUGGAGGGAAGGGCGGGGGCGCCGGGCGGAGGCACCGACCGAGCCGGGACUGACUCCAGACCCAGCGGCCCCCCCCUCCCCCCGCCCCAAGCAGGCUGACCCGGGCUGGGCAGGGAAGAGUCGGAGAGCUCUCCGCUCCUUCACUCCUCGUCUACAGACGUCCGGCCGAGAAAGGCCGCGGGCACAGCCCCUCGCUCCCCCUCACCCCUGA
rnacentral:lncRNA from 1 species